AGCGUAGGCGGAACUACAAGACAGGGGUCAAAUCUCCGGGCUCAACCUGGAACUUGCCUUUGUGACUGUGGUUCUUGAGUAUGGUAGAGGUUGGCGGAAUUUCCGGUGUAGCGGUGGAAUGCGUAGAGAUCGGAAAGAACACCAGAGGCGAAGGCGGCCAACUGGACCAAUACUGACGCUGAGGCUCGAAAGCGUGGGGAGCAAACAGGAUUAGAUACCCUGGUAGUCCACGCUGUAAACGAUGAACACUAGAUGUCGGGAGGGGUUCCUUCCGGUGUCGUCGCUAAACGCAGUAAGUGUUCCGCCUGGGGAGUACGCUCGCAAGGGUGAA
rnacentral:rRNA from 1 species